rnacentral:tRNA from 1 species
GCCUUCAUGGUGUAGCGGUCAGCACGCCGGACGCGCGUUCCAGAGGUCCGUGGUUCGAGUCCCGGCAAGGGCA